rnacentral:rRNA from 1 species
UACGGAGGGUGCGAGCGUUGUCCGGAAUCACUGGGCGUAAAGGGCGCGUAGGCGGCCCGGCAAGUCAGUGGUGAAAGCCCGAGGCUCAACUUCGGGUCGGCCACUGAUACUGCGGGGCUCGAGUCGACUAGAGGCAGAUGGAAUUCCGGGUGUAGCGGUGGAAUGCGUAGAUAUUCGCAAGAACACCAGUGGCGAAGGCGGCUCACUGGCCCGGUACUGACGCUGAGGUGCGAAAGCGUGGGGAGCAAACAGG